rnacentral:lncRNA from 1 species
GCCUGUGGGCUGCACGGCCUCCUGCCCACAUCUCCAGACCAGCUCCCGAGCCUGCCCUUCUCCCCACCCUCCUCGAGCUUUAGGACAGCAGAGAGCAGCAGCAGCCACGUGCAUGCUGGGACCKCGAAGGACAGGUUGCUGCUCCCCAGGCCCCCAGAGGCCGGUCUGUUUGCCUCCAGGCACCAUCUGACCCAGCCCCGACCAAGCCGAACUGCACCCGGUGCUCAGAGGCCCCUUGGGCAGAGCCUGAGCACCAGGAAUGUGGAGGUUGGGACAGCUGAGGAGGAGGGGACAGGAGGCCAGCACAGCAUCUCUCCUUUGCUAAGCUGGCCUGGCUCUGUGCGUGCAUCGGGAGCCCCCAGGACCUGCAGGCCUGAGACACCCGUGCCUUCACAUGUGGACUCACACGUGCGUUCUCCUGGAUCCGUGGGUUGGAAGCCGGAAAGGUCUCAUUCAGUCUGUCAGCUGGUUAUCAGGUGUUGGGCAGAGCUGGUGGCCGCCCCUUCCCUGCCUUCUCAUCUCACCUCUGUCCAGGUUCCUGGGCGGGCAUCUCGGCAGGAUGGAGUGAGUAGCAUCCUGGGGCAGGAACAGCGCAUCCAGGCAGGUCCAGCAAUGGUCGAGGAACAAGCUGGGCCUUGUGUGCCUUGUGUGGCG